rnacentral:rRNA from 1 species
UAGGGAAUCUUCGGCAAUGGACGGAAGUCUGACCGAGCAACGCCGCGUGAGUGAAGAAGGUUUUCGGAUCGUAAAGCUCUGUGGUUAGAGAAGAACGUUGGUAGGAGUGGAAAAUCUACCAAGUGACGGUAACUAACCAGAAAGGGACGGCUAACUACGUGCCAGCAGCCACGGUAAUACGUAGGUCCCGAGCGUUGUCCGGAUUUAUUGGGCGUAAAGCGAGCGCAGGCGGUUCUUUAAGUCUGAAGUUAAAGGCAGUGGCUUAACCAUUGUACGCUUUGGAAACUGGAGGACUUGAGUGCAGAAGGGGAGAGUGGAAUUCCAUGUGUAGCGGUGAAAUGCGUAGAUAUAUGGAGGAACCCCGGUGGCGAAAGCGGCUCUCUGGUCUGUAACUGACGCUGAGGCUCGAACGCGUGGGGAGCAAACAGG